GUUCCGAAGAUGUACUGCAGUUCCCCUGGAAGCAACGUUUAUGUCACAGCUGAACAAGCACACCCCAAAGCUCCUAGAGCUCUUUAGUGCCAAGUGAGGAGCAACUGGUCAACGCAUCAAAAACUUGAUGAUGGAACUGAUACAGGACCCAAGUGCCACUGCAGUGAAGAAGAGAGAUGUCACUCUGAGAUGCCUCUUUGAGUAUAUGGGAGAGAGUGGACAAGAGCUCAUCUCUGAUUACUUUGGGACUGCAGAGACCACUGUUCAUGAGGACCUGAAAAUGAAGAAUAUGAGCAUCUAUGUCUGCCGUGAGCCAGAUGCAGUAGGAAUCAUUAUUGAGGGAAUACCAGUCCUUACCAAUCUUGGAAAUCUG